rnacentral:lncRNA from 1 species
GCACCAUGUCAUUGGUGCUACCAAGUUUUUGGCCAUUGGAUUAAGAGAUGUGCGGUUAUGAUGAUAUGGGCCUUCUAAAAUAGAGUGGGUGGUUGGUUGAAUUGUAUGAUCUAACGGAUGAAAAUGAUGAAAAUGGUAGAUCAUAUAUAUAUAUAUAUAUAUGAGCAAGAAUAUUUCUAAAAUCACCAAUUCAUUAGUGCUUUUAGAUUUAUAGCCCUUGAAUGGAGGUGAUGUAAGGUUAGAAUGAUGGUGGUAGGGGGUGGUAGAUAGUAGCCGGUGGAAUAGUGUUUGAUCCAAAGGCUAUUAAUUCUCAAAAGGUAGAUCUAAAGAUUAGAAACUUUAAAGCACCAAUAAAUUGGUGCUUUUAGGUCUAUUAUAGUUCAACUCUCUUUCUCUAUUUAUGUAUAUAAUUU